AGGCCGGAAUAGCUCAGUUGGUAGAGCAGAGGACUGAAAA
rnacentral:tRNA from 2 species